GACGGAGGGUGCAAACGUUGUUCGGAAUCACUGGGCAUAAAGAGCACGUAGGCUGCGCGCUAAGUCAGGUGUGAAAUCCCCCGGCUCAACUGGGGAACUGCACCUGAUACUGGCGUGCUCGAGGACGGUAGGGGUGAGUGGAACUCCAGGUGGAGCGGUGAAAUGCGUAGAUAUCUUGAGGAACACCGGUGGCGAAAGCGGCUCACUGGACCGUCUCUGACGCUGAGGUGCGAAAGCUAGGGUAGCAAACGGG
rnacentral:rRNA from 1 species